UGGGGAAUUUUGCGCAAUGGGGGAAACCCUGACGCAGCAACGCCGCGUGAGUGAUGAAGGCCCUUGGGUCGUAAAGCUCUGUCAGUGGGAACGAAGUGCCGGCGGGUAAUAUCCGACCGGUUUGACGGUACCCACAAAGGAAGCACCGGCUAACUCCGUGCCAGCAGCCGCGGUAAUACGGAGGGUGCAAGCGUUGUUCGGAUUUAUUGGGCGUAAAGGGCGUGUAGGCGGUUUGUUAAGUCUGAUGUGAAAGCCCCGGGCUCAACCUGGGAAGGGCAUUGGAAACUGGCAGACUUGAGUACGGGAGAGGGCAGUGGAAUUCCUAGUGUAGGAGUGAAAUCCGUAGAUAUUAGGAGGAACACCGGUGGCGAAGGCGGCUGCCUGGACCGAUACUGACGCUGAGACGCGAAAGCGUGGGGAGCAAACAGG
rnacentral:rRNA from 1 species